UACGGAGGAUGCGAGCGUUAUCCGGAUUUAUUGGGUUUAAAGGGUGCGUAGCCGGCUUAGUAAGUCAGCGGUGAAAUUUUGCAGCUUAACUGUAACAGUGCCGUUGAUACUGCCAGGCUAGGAUUUGGUUGCUGUGGGUGGAAUGUGUGGUGUAGCGGUGAAAUGCUUAGAUAUCACACAGAAUAUCGAUUGCGAAGGCAGCUCACAAAGCCAAGAUUGACGCUGAGGCACGAAAGUGUGGGGAUCAAACA
rnacentral:rRNA from 1 species